ensembl:lncRNA
CCUACCAUCGCAAAAUGCUUUGAGAAACUGGUCAUGAAACACAUUCAAGCCUCCAUACCAUGCUUACCGGAAGAACAGGUCUACAGAGGAUGCCAUUGCCAUUGUGUUACACACUCUACUAGAAUAUCUUGAGCACAGGAACACAUAUGGGAGACGCCUUUUUGUUGACUUUAGUUCAGCCUUCAACACUAUCCUGCCAAACAAGCUACACAGCAAAUUACUUUAUGGUCGUAUUUUGAUUAACUUUAGCCUGGUUAACCUUGACCUAUGCUUCUUAAAAUUAAAUACACCUAGUUUGGUGGCGAUUGACUCAAGUUAACCCGGCAUUUUGUUACAGGUUCUGGGUUUCUCAAAAAUGAGCCCGAUAUGGAUACGAUAGGGGAUUAUCACGCUUCCUGGUUCCGGUGGCGGGAUUUGUCUUCGUUGUGCAUGAACACGUCCGGCGCACUUCCACCAUGGCUGAAACAAAGGCGAGAUGUCACUGCUCUCUGUUCCACUUUGUACAUCUAACAAACAACACCAACCCUACUUAAGUUUUCAUGGAUUCCCGACUGAAAUGAGUCUAAGGAAGAAGUGGAUUCAAGCGGUACGCCGGGAUGAAGGGCCAAACUUUAAAAUAAAACAAGGUAGCAUGUUUGUUUGUAGCCGGCACUUUAGUGAAUCAGACUACAAACGCUACAGCUAGCAACCAACCGGGGUCACACCAAGCGACUGAAAAUUGGGUCUUCACCCUCCCGUUUCCAGUGGAACAACUGGGGACUGCCAAGAAGGGGGUCUGUUUAUAAAGAGCAUCAACUCGCUUAGGCCAUGACGUUCACCCAUCCCUUCCUCUGGAGCAACCGCUGCCCUGUGAAUAAGAGCCGAUGGAGGAGAUCUCAGCUUCGGUGGUGAUGACAGAACAUGAUUUCGGUUCUGCUCCUAAACCAGGUGCACUGGAUGCUGCUGCUGUAAACAUACAGCAAUUGGAAGAAACAGUCAAGGCGCUGAUGAGAGCUGUCACAGCUGAAAGUGGUUCAAGUGCAUUUUCACAGAUUCUGUGUCUCAGGCGGACAUCCUUUUUUACACCAGAUUCACGUCAAGAGAUGUUUUUUGUGACUUCUGGGAGGUUAUUCAACCAUCUGCCUCCAAGUUGGUUUAUUGGUCGAAAGCUCAGAAAAAGAAACAAACAUUUGAACCCAUUUCUCCCAGUCCAACGUGUAGACUGCAACUGGUUGAGUUUUUUCUCUUCUGCUGCCGGGUUGCUGCAGGCCUGCAAGAGAAGGUGCUGGCUGACAUGUUUCAGAGCUGACUGAACGAAGUGGACUGCUGGAUUUACUGGAGCCAGGAGAUGGCUGCAUGGCAGACAAGGGUUUCACCAUCGAGAAGCCACUAGCUGAUCGUGGGGCAACGCUGAUUAUACCACCCUUCAAGAUGACAGUUCACUGAAGAGGAUGCUCUGAAAACACAAGCAAUCGCUCGACUUCGAAUCCUCGUAGAAAGAGCAAUAGGCAGAGUCAAGGAAUACCGCAUCUGGGAACGCACUGUCCUUUCACCUUGUCUGCGACAGUCAAUCAGCUGUGGACCGUCUGCUGUGUGAUGACCAACUUCCAGGGACCACUUGAUUUAAAAGGCUACAUCCCUGUUGAAUAGUGUUUCUACUCAAACAUGUACCUAUAAAUAUUAUAAUAUAUAAAUAUUAAAACGAGAGGCACUGAACAUUUGGAGUGGUCCCUUCAUUUUUUCCGGAGCUGUAAUUUUGUACACUGAAAACAUUGUAUAUAUUGAAUGACAUGUAAUGUAAUUGAAUGAGAAGUCUUUCAUCUAUAAUCAAUUUUAAAGUCCAGUCAGUCCAUCCUGAA